GCGUCUGUGGCUCAAUGGCAGGGCUUCUGUCUCGUAAACAGAAGAUCUGUGGUUCAGUCCUGCACGGAGUA
rnacentral:tRNA from 1 species